rnacentral:pre_miRNA from 1 species
CUAAUACUCCCUCCGUCUCAAAUUUUUUGUCUUAGAUUUGUCUAGAUAUGAAUGUAUCUAUAGUCACGUUUUAGUAUUCAGAUACAUCCAUUUCUAAACAAACCUAAGACAAUAAUUUUAGGACGGAGUGAGUAUAUA